rnacentral:rRNA from 1 species
CCCUUAGAUGUUCUGGGCCGCACGCGCGCUACACUGAUUCAUGCAACGAGUUUUGUCCUUGGCUGAAAGGCCUGGAUAAUCUUUGAACGUGAAUCGUGCUGGGGAUAGAUGAUUGCAAUUAUUCAUCUUCAACGAGGAAUUCCUAGUAAACGCAAGUCAUCAGCUUGCAUUGAUUACGUCCCUGCCCUUUGUACACACCGCCCGUCGCACCUACCGAUUGAAUGGUCCGGUGAAAUCUUCGGAUCUGAGAGAUGUUGGAUUAAUUUCUGACGCCUUUUGGAAAAGUCGCUUAAACCUUAUCAUUUAGAGGAAGGUGAAGUCGUAACA